rnacentral:rRNA from 1 species
CCUACGGGUGGCAGCAGUGGGGGAUAUUGCACAAUGGGGGGAACCCUGAUGCAGCGACGCCGCGUGGGUGAAGAAGCGUUUCGGCGCGUAAAGUCCUGUUAGUAGGGAAGAUAAUGACGGUAUCUGACGAAUAAGCCCCGGCUAACUACGUGCCAGCAGCCGCGGUAAUACGUAGGGGGCAAGCGUUACUCGGAUUCACUGGGCGUAAAGGGGGCGCAGGCGGGGAAGCAAGCCAGGUGUGAAAGCCCGGGGCCCAACCCCAGGACUGCAUUUGAAACUGUGUGGCUGGAGUGCGGGAGGGGCAGGCGGAAUUCCUGGUGUAGCGGUAAAAUGCGUAGAUAUCAAGAGGAACACCGAUGGCGAAGGCGACCUGCUAGACUGCAACUGACGUUGAGGCCCGAAAGCGUGGGGAGCAAACAGGAUUAGAUACCCCAGUAGUC